GAUGAACGCUAGCGGCAGGCCUAACACAUGCAAGUCGAGGGGUAUAAGUUGCUUGCAACUUAGAGACCGGCGCACGGGUGCGUAACGCGUAUGCAAUCUACCUUGUACAGGGGGAUAGCCCAGAGAAAUUUGGAUUAAUACCCCAUGGUGUACUAGAGUGGCAUCACUUUAUUACUAAAGUUCCAACGGUACAAGAUGAGCAUGCGUCCUAUUAGCUAGUUGGUGUGGUAACGGCACACCAAGGCUACGAUAGGUAGGGGUCCUGAGAGGGAGAUCCCCCACACUGGUACUGAGACACGGACCAGACUCCUACGGGAGGCAGCAGUGAGGAAUAUUGGUCAAUGGACGCAAGUCUGAACCAGCCAUGCCGCGUGCAGGAAAACGCAUCUAUGGUGUGUAAACUGCUUUUGUACGGGAAGAAACACUCCUACGUGUAGGAGCUUGACGGUACCGUAAGAAUAAGGAUCGGCUAACUCCGUGCCAGCCGCCGCCGUAAAAC
rnacentral:rRNA from 1 species